rnacentral:rRNA from 1 species
UACAGAGGGUGCAAGCGUUGUUCGGAAUUAUUGGGCGUAAAGGGAGUGUAGGCGGUUGUCUAAGUCUUCUGUGAAAUCUACGGGCUCAGCCUGUAACGUGCAGAGGAAACUGGAUGGCUUGAGUGUCGGAGAGGAUAGUGGAAUUCCCGGUGUAGAGGUGAAAUUCGUAGAGAUCGGGAGGAACACCAGUGGCGAAGGCGACUAUCUGGCUGACAACUGACGCUGAGACUCGAAAGCAUGGGGAGCAAACAGG